UGCGGAGCUACCAUGCAGUCGGACGAGAAGGUUCCUUCGGGAACUGGAGAGUGGCGCACGGGUGAGUAACGCGUGGGGACCUACCUCUUAGUGGGGGAUAACGGUUGGAAACGACCGCUAAUACCGCAUACGCCCUUCGGGGGAAAGAUUUAUCGCUAAGAGAUGGACCCGCGUUGGAUUAGAUAGUUGGUGAGGUAACGGCUCACCAAGUCAGCGAUCCAUAGCUGGUUUGAGAGGAUGAUCAGCCACACUGGGACUGAGACACGGCCCAGACUCCUACGGGAGGCAGCAGUGGGGAAUAUUGGACAAUGGGGGCAACCCUGAUCCAGCCAUGCCGCGUGAGUGAAGAAGGCCUUCGGGUUGUAAAGCUCUUUCAGAUGCGAAGAUGAUGACGGUAACAUCAGAAGAAGCCCCGGCUAAUUUCGUGCCAGCAGCCGCGGUAA
rnacentral:rRNA from 1 species